UAUUAAAUUAUAUGACUACAUAUUGCUUAAUAUUCACAUUUCUUUGCUGGCAUUACCUAAAUGUGUUGCAUUUUAACAUCUCACUUGAAUUCCUGAUCUACAUGCAAAUACUUGAUAAAAUGUAAACACAGAGAAAAGGGAAAAAAAGAUUCAAUUUUAUUGUAGGUACAAACAGGAUAGCAAAAUGAACAGUGAAUAUAUAAUAUACUUCCUAGCAGCUAAUUAAACAUCAGACUUGUUUGCCUUUACUGGUGAAGAAAACUCGUCACUCUGGAGGAGAGGAAGACCGGCUCAGCCCCGUCCAGGAUGACUGCAGUGUCAGGGUAGCUAACAAAGUCUGCAGGUAGAUUUUUGCAUAUCUGGUGCUCCGGUUUCAAGAUCAUAGUUUAACCAAGUA